GACGGAGGUGGCAAGCGUUGCUCGGAUUCAUUGGGUGUAAAGGGUCGGUAGGCGGUUUUGUAAGUGCUUGGUAAAAUCCCACAGCUUAACUGUGGAACGCCCGAGUAGACUGCAAGACUUGAGGGCUGGAGAGGCAAACGGAAUUCCCGGUGUAAGAGUGAAAUCUGUAGAUAUCGGGAGGAACACCAGAGGCGAAGGCGGUUUGCUGGACAGCAUCUGACGCUGAGCGACGAAAGCGUGGGGAGCAAACAGG
rnacentral:rRNA from 1 species